rnacentral:snRNA from 1 species
GCGUCCUGGUCGGAUGCG